UGGACUGCAGCACAUAAGAAGAGAGCUAAGCCACCUCCCUCUCUGGAGGAGUUUCCUGACAGCCUCUGAGGCAGGACCUGAGCCCAAGGGGUGGACAUGUGUCCACCAGAGAAGAAUGCCACCCACUCACUUUUGGCACCCUGGGGAGUGGAGCCAAGUAGUCUGUUUCUAACACAUCAGAAAGCGCGGCCGACCGUAUCGUUAACAAGACGUAGAAAUCCACUGAGAAGCUAUGCCUCUGAAGCACACACCUGCUGUUGGAGGAAUUUAUAGCCAGGACACGAUAAUCCUGAAAAGUAGGACUGGAGUGGGAGAGAUGGCUUAGUGGAGAAAGGCAUUUGCUGGAGUUGGAUCUUCGGGACUCACGUGGUAGAAG